rnacentral:lncRNA from 1 species
GGGCCGCUCUCUGCCAGGCUUAGCUCGGGUCAAGGGCGCAGGGCCGGGAGAGGAUGUUGGCCGCGGCCCCCGACGCCAAGUGGGCACGGAUUGCCACUGGCGACAGGUAGAUUUCUCUCUCUGGGAAAUCUGCCAAACGCUUUUCUAAAGCUCCCAGCGUGUCCUCUGCCUGCAGCCCCUACCCUACGCCCCCCAGCUCAGGCGCCUCGCUCCAGGCAGGUCGCCUCUGGGCCUUUGCACAGAACGUCCGGUUGUCGCUGGCGUCGCCCACUGUGAACUGGCCCUAGAUUCUCCCAGACCCAGAAUAGUGCUCCUGCUUUACGCAUCGCACGCAGCCUCUGCAGUGCAACCCGAGCUGCCUGGGACCUAGGACCGACCCCUCCCUGCGAGGACCCCGGCUCGGCUGGCCUGCACAGGAGCCUGGCUCCGCGCUGGUUACACCAGUCACCGCCAGGCGGCGCGCGCCCCAGCUGACCUCGUUAGCGAUGUCUCUCCUUGUGAUCCCCACUCUGAGCCCCAGCCCAGCGCUGGGCAGUUUGUGCCGACAGCUGGGGGAAGACUUCCAUGUGCUAAUGAACUCCGUAGGUCGUCGGCAGCCAGAGAAACCCACCGCAAAUAACAGCGCAAGCCCGAUUCGCCAGCUGAUGAUGAGGCCCUGGAUGAAAGCUAGGAAUUCGAGCCCCUGCUGCUGGAGGGAGGCUGGCGGCUUCAAGAGCACCUACUGAAAAAUUGGUCGUGUCCAGUGACUGAGCAGUCCUCAUGCUGGCCCGAAGCCCAGCCAGGAUCCUCCUGAGUCCCCGGAGGGAGCAAAGACAGGGCAGCUGAAUGACCACAGAUGAGCCCAGCCCCACAACUUGAAAGCCUUCACAAUGCGUGCUCCUCGGGCCUCCACCAGACGACACCGAGCCUCAGUUUGGACUCACAUGUGUGCGUGCGAACAGUUC